AUACGUAGGGGGCGAGCGUUGUCCGGAAUGAUUGGGCGUAAAGGGCGCGUAGGCGGCUUUGCAAGUCAGUAGUGGAAGUCCAUUUUUCAAGGAUGGAAGUGCUACAGAAACUGCGGAGCUUGAGUGCAGGAGAGGUUAUCGGAAUUCCCGGUGUAGCGGUGAAAUGCGUAGAGAUCGGGAGGAACACCAGUGGCGAAGGCGGGUAACUGGACUGCAACUGACGCGGAGGAGCGAACGUGUGGGGAGCAAACAGGAUUAGAUACCCUGGUAGUCCACACUGUAAACGAUGAAUGCUAGGUGUAGGAGGUAUCGCCCCCUUCUGUGCCGCAGUAAACACAGUAAGCAUUCCGCCUGGGGAGUACGGUCGCAAGAUUAAAACUCAAAUGAAUUGACGGGG
rnacentral:rRNA from 1 species